AGUGAUAGUAGCUCAAUUGGAAGAGCAUCUGCUCAACCAGCAGAGGGUUUUGAGUUCAAAUAUCAAGUAUUGCUGCC
rnacentral:tRNA from 1 species